UACGGGGGGUGCAAGCGUUAUUCGGAAUUAUUGGGCGUAAAGGGCGCGUAGGCGGUUGAAUAAGUCAGAUGUGAAAGCCCUUGGCUUAACCAAGGAAGUGCAUUUGAUACUAUUUGACUUGAGUAUGGGAGAGGGAAGUGGAAUUCCUGGUGUAGCGGUGAAAUGCGUAGAUAUCAGGAGGAACACCAGUGGCGAAGGCGGCCGUCUGGCCCGCAACCGACGCUGAAACACGAAAGCGUGGGGAGCAAACCGG
rnacentral:rRNA from 1 species